UACAGAGACCUCAAGCGUUAUCCGGAAUCAUUGGGCGUAAAGCGUGCCGAUAGGUGGUUUUGAAAGUCUUGGGUAAAAGCCAGAAGCUUAACUUCUGAGUUUGCUUAAGAUACUGCAAAACUAGAGGGGCAAAGAGGUGCUUGGAACGAACGGUGUAGUAGUGAAAUGCGUUGAUAUCGUUCGGAACACCAGCGGCGAAGGCGGCAUCCUGGACUGGUCCUGACACUCAGGAGCGAAAGCGUGGGGAGCGAUCCGG
rnacentral:rRNA from 1 species